rnacentral:misc_RNA from 1 species
GGGGAACGUCACUGAAUUCAUCACCAUUUGAAUGAUGCAAUAUCCAUGAUGACUUCUUUUGAAGAUGAUCUUGAGAUUGUGUGCCAAUUUUAGAAGGACAAUCCUCAGUUAGAAACAGUUUUACCUGACAAAGAUUAACACCUGGUGCCCACGUUACCCUGUUCGAUUUCCUCUGUCGCUUCAUAUCUUAUAGAUUGAUUGCUUCAAUCAAAAAGUUUCACAAAUAGGUUCCAGUAACUGACAAAUUUAAUCAGAUCUAAUGAAGAAAAAUAUUUCAAAAACUUUAUCACUGAAAACGCGAGACGGAUUUAACACCCUAAAAAGAUUUAAAUUGAUUUCUUAUACUUGCGUGCUCGAG